rnacentral:rRNA from 1 species
GACGAAGGGGGCUAGCGUUGUUCGGAAUUACUGGGCGUAAAGCGCGUGUAGGCGGUUGUCCAAGUUGGAUGUGAAAGCCUUGAGCUCAACUCAAGAAAUGCAUUCAGGACUGGAUGACUAGAGGACCGGAGAGGAGACUGGAAUUCAUGGUGUAGCAGUGAAAUGCGUAGAGAUCAUGAGGAAGACCAGUGGCGAAGGCGGGUCUCUGGACAGUUCCUGACACUGAGACACGAAGGCCAGGGGAGCAAACGGG